rnacentral:rRNA from 1 species
CACGCCGUAAACGAUGAAUACUAGGUGUAGGGGGUAUCGACUCCCUCUGUGCCGCAGCUAACGCAAUAAGUAUUCCACCUGGGGAGUACGGCCGCAAGGUUGAAACUCAAAGGAAUUGACGGGGGCCCGCACAAGCAGUGGAUUAUGUGGUUUAAUUCGAAGCAACGCGAAGAACCUUACCAGGACUUGACAUCCUUUGACCGCUAUAGAGAUAUAGCUUCCCUUCGGGGCAAAGAGACAGGUGG